AUAAUAGCAAUAUUACUACAAGUUGUGUAUAUAAAUAUAUGUACAUAUGUAUGUACAUAUAUAUAAAUCUAUGUAAAUAAAAAUAUAAACAAAAUGAAGUAUUCCUCUUUUAAGAACUCUUUAAGGUACGAAAUAUUAUAUAAUUAAUUACUCCUUCAAAAAGUUGCCAUUCCCCAAAUUAUAUAUUCGUUUGCAAGUAAGCUUUACCAAAACAACAACUACAAGCUAUAUAUAAAUAGCGUACCACAGUUCUCCACUUAUACAUAUGGGAAGUUUGUCAAAACAAACCCUUUGACAAACAGGCUUGAUCAUUUAUUAUCAAAAAACACAAGUUUGAUUAGUAUAUUAAGCAUAAAUGGGUUAGAUGAAUUAAUCACUCAAUCGUCGAAAAUUGGUGAGACAUUUAUAUGCUCCAACAUAACAAAAAAUAUGUUAUUUUCGUUGAUUAAUGUACCAACGAGGUAUAUAUAUAUAUAUACAUAUAUACAUAUAUUAUCGUUUACACUUAUAUACAUACUUACACAUGUACAUAUGUAUAUAUAUAUAUACAAUUAAAAAAUUAGUUAACAACAACAAUUUGAUAACAUAAAUGCACUUAAAAAGACAUAGUACAUAUAAAAAUAAAGUAAAAUCGUUUUAUUAAUUUUUUUUUUUU
rnacentral:lncRNA from 1 species